GACGAACGCUGGCGGCGUGCCUAAUACAUGCAAGUAGAACGCUGAAGAGAGGAGCUUGCUCUUCUUGGAUGAGUUGCGAACGGGUGAGUAACGCGUAGGUAACCUGCCUUGUAGCGGGGGAUAACUAUUGGAAACGAUAGCUAAUACCGCAUAACAAUGGAGGACACAUUUCAUUUAUUUGAAGGGGCCAUUUGCUCCCCUCCAAGAUGGACCUGCGUUGUAUUAGCUAGUAGGUGAGGUAAUGGCUCACCUAGGCGACGAUACAUAGCCGACCUGAGAGGGUGAUCGGCCACACUGGGACUGAGACACGGCCCAGACUCCUACGGGAGGCAGCAGUAGGGAAUCUUCGGCAAUGGGGGCAACCCUGACCGAGCAACGCCGCGUGAGUGAAGAAGGUUUUCGGAUCGUAAAGCUCUGUUGUAAGUCAAGAACGGGUGUGAGAGUGGAAAGUUCACACUGUGACGGUAGCUUACCAGAAAGGGACGGCUAACUACGUG
rnacentral:rRNA from 1 species